CACCUCAGCCUCCCAAAGUGCUGGGAUUACAAGUGAGAGCCACUGCUCCCCACCUACUUAAGUGUCUUAAGGACACUUCAGACUUGAAAUGUUUUUGUGCCAGAAUAAUAUCCAUAAUCAGGCCCAUAUGAACAGAGUGGUCACACACGAGCUCAUUCAUGCAUUUGAUCAUUGUCGUGCCCAUGUUGACUGGUUCACCAACAUCAGACAUUUGGCGUGCUCAGAGGUUCGAGCUGCUAACCUUAGUGGAGACUGCUCACUUGUCAAUGAAAUAUUCAGGUUACAUUUUGGAUUAAAACAACACCACCAGACUUGUGUGCGAGACAGAGCCACUCUUUCUAUCCUGGCUGUUAGGAAUAUCAGCAAAGAAGUAGCUAAAAAGGCUGUUGAUGAAGUUUUUGAAUCUUGUUUCAAUGACCAUGAACCUUUUGGAAGGAUCCCACAUAACAAGACUUAUGCAAGAUAUGCUCAUAGAGACUUUGAAAACCGUGAUCGGUAUUAUUCAAAUAUAUGAGCACAAUGACAUUUUUAUAUUACAGAGCUUCCAUCAUCAUGAAGUAAAA
rnacentral:sRNA from 1 species